rnacentral:rRNA from 1 species
GAUGAACGCUGGCGGCGUGCCUAAUACAUGCAAGUCGAGCGAACGGACGAGAAGCUUGCUUCUCUGAUGUUAGCGGCGGACGGGUGAGUAACACGUGGAUAACCUACCUAUAAGACUGGGAUAACUUCGGGAAACCGGAGCUAAUACCGGAUGAUAUUUUGAACCGCAUGGUUCAAAAGUGAAAGACGGUCUUGCUGUCACUUAUAGAUGGAUCCGCGCUGCAUUAGCUAGUUGGUAAGGUAACGGCUUACCAAGGCAACGAUGUAUAGCCGACCUGAGAGAGUGAUCGCCCACACUGGAACGGAGACACGGUCCAGACUCCUACGGGAGGCAGCAGUAGGGAAUCUUCCGCAAUGGGCGAAAGCCUGACGGAGCAACGCCGCGUGAGUGAUGAAGGUCUUCGGAUCGUAAAACUCUGUUAUUAGGGAAGAACAUAUGUGUAAGUAACUGUGCACAUCUUGACGGUAACUAAUCAGAAAGCCACGGCUAACUACGUG